UGCCUCACAGGCUAAAUUCCUGCUCAG
rnacentral:piRNA from 1 species